GAUGAACGCUGGCGGCGUGCCUAAUACAUGCAAGUCGAACGAGGUGCUUUUGUAGCAAUACGAGAGUAUCCUAGUGGCGAACGGGUGAGUAACGCGUUGGUGACCUACCCAAAGUGUGGGAUAACAGUCCGAAAGGAUUGCUAAUACCGCAUGUGGUCUUCGGGUUUAGAAACUGAUGACUAAAGGAGCAAUUCGCUUUGGGAGGGACCUGCGUCCCAUCAGCUAGUUGGUGAGGUAAUGGCUCACCAAGGCUACGACGGGUAGGGGACCUGAGAGGGUGACCCCCCACAAUGGAACUGAAACACGGUCCAUACACCUACGGGUGGCAGCAGUAGGGAAUAUUGCACAAUGGGCGAAAGCCUGAUGCAGCAACGCCGCGUGUGCGAUGAAGGCCUUCGGGUCGUAAAGCACUUUUCUGGGAGAUGAGCAAGGACAGUAUCUCAGGAAUAAGUCUCGGCUAACUACGUGCCAGCAGCCGCGGUAAU
rnacentral:rRNA from 1 species